GCUGGGUGGAUCAGUGGCGAACGGGUGAGUAACACGUGAGCAACCUGCCCUCCACUUCGGGAUAAGCCUUGGAAACGGGGUCUAAUACCGGAUAUGAGCAUCCAUCGCAUGGUGGGUGUUGGAAAGUUUUUCGGUGGGGGAUGGGCUCGCGGCCUAUCAGCUUGUUGGUGGGGUGAUGGCCUACCAAGGCGUCGACGGGUAGCCGGCCUGAGAGGGCGACCGGCCACACUGGGACUGAGACACGGCCCAGACUCCUACGGGAGGCAGCAGUGGGGAAUAUUGCACAAUGGGCGCAAGCCUGAUGCAGCGACGCCGCGUGAGGGAUGACGGCCUUCGGGUUGUAAACCUCUUUCAGCAGGGAAGAAGCGCAAGUGACGGUACCUGCAGAAGAAGCGCCGGCUAACUACGUGCCAGCAGCCGCGGUAAUACGUAGGGCGCAAGCGUUGUCCGGAAUUAUUGGGCGUAAAGAGCUCGUAGGCGGUCUGUCGCGUCUGGUGUGAAAUCCCGAGGCUCAACCUCGGGCUUGCAUCGGGUACGGGCAGACUAGAGUGCGGUAGGGGAGACUGGAAUUCCUGGUGUAGCGGUGGAAUGCGCAGAUAUCAGGAGGAACACCGAUGGCGAAGGCAGGUCUCUGGGCCGCAACUGACGCUGAGGAGCGAAAGCAUGGGGAGCGAACAGGAUUAGAUACCCUGAUAGUCCAUGCCGUAAACGUU
rnacentral:rRNA from 1 species